rnacentral:misc_RNA from 1 species
GAUGAAGAACGCGGCGAAAUGCGAUAAGUAAUGUGAAUUGCAGAAUUCAGUGAAUCAUCGAAUCUUUGAACGCAUCUUGCGCUCCUUGGUAUUCCUUGGAGCAUGCCUGUUUGAGUAUCAUGAGCAAAUCUCAAAGUCAAUUCCUUUUGUUGAUUCAAUUGGUUUUGCUUUGGACUUGGAGGCCUUGCAGAUUUCACAGUCUGCUCCUCUUAAAUGCAUUAGCUGGAUCUCAGUAAUUAUGCUUGGUUCCACUCGGCGUGAUAAGUAUCACUCGCUGAGGACACUGUUAAAAAGGUGGCCAGGAAAAUACUGAUUGAACCGCUUCUAACGGUCUAUUAAGUUAGACAAUUACCCUUAAGUUUGAUCUCAAAUCAGGUAGGACUACCCGCUGAACUUAAGCAUAUCAAUAAGCGGAGGA